UUUCUUUUUUUUUUUGAAACUGUUUUGACUCUAUUGUUUUGCUCGACACUUUUUUUUUGAGCUUUCCUGACUCUAUCUUGAUUCCAAAAGAGGGGUAUGAAGAGAAAUAGGACUAAAGCUCAAAUGGGGUAAACAAAGGAUGACACGAUGUUUGGAUAGCAGAAUAAAAUUCCUUCAUCCUAUCAAUCCUUGAAAAAUAUAAGUACAUAUCAUGCAAUAUGAAAUGAAAAAUGAAGAUCAUUUGUGACACUUUAACACUAACUUUAACUGAGCAUGUGCGCCACUCCCUCUUCUACACUUGUCAAACAUACAACUCCAUUUUUGUUAUACAUCCCUCACAUCGAAUGAUCCAUGCUUUUGUGGAGUUGAUUAUCUUCUUAUUUCUCUUGAUAUAGGGAUCAUGCAUCCACUAUUUAACCUAAUUGGGACAUGUCUUUCGAUUGAUCACCAAGUUAUUCUUGUGAUUCUAAAAAUAAUUUCCUUAAUAUUCAAAGGAGGUUUCAACUUGUCACCAAAUGUCUCAGCACUCUAUCUAUUUCUUAGAUUUUUUCCUAACUUUGGCCCUCUGAUUCAAUGUUUCAUAGUUGAAUUGAAUUUUAAGAUCUAGCUGAGAAUUCCGCAGGCAUGUCAUAGUACUAGAAUCAGCCUAAAAUGUAUUGUGUAAAAAAAAGACAAGCAAACAAUUUGAAAAAAGACACAACGACAAGGGAUGCCACAUUUGAUUGAAAGAAAAGAUAGAAGGGUUUAAACAAAAAUGACAGAGAAACAAAACAAGAUAGAUUCUAAACUACAAUCCUGAAAUAAUUCAGAAAAUAGAAAGCAAAAUAAAACAAACUACCAAUAAUCCUUCUGGGUAAGGAGAGGAGCGACUUUUAAUUGCUGAGCUUGACAUCUUAGCCACUGAAUUGCACAUCAUCGUGACUAGAGAUUUCACCGCUAUCAGACACAUUCCAUGUAAAAUUAUCAUUUGACUUCCUCCUUUUUGCAAUCUCCGAGCUCAGUUGAAACUUGAACUCAAAAGUUCCUUAGUAAAUGUGUGGGGUUUGAGGAUGAUGUUGAGGGACCGGUGCAUACUAUUAUGGAUAUGAAGGCGAAUGAGUAUAUCGUUGUGCAUUGUUCAAAGAAUACUGAGGAAUUGGAAUAGAAUAUCUUGGAUUUUGCGAAGAGAAACCUUGUUGCAGGUGAGCAUGUGAACUUGAUGUGUAAGCUCGGGAUUGAGAGUGAAAAUAUUGCUGAGUUGGACCUCUCAAGAUCUAUUUUUCCCAUGAAACGACAAUAGGUAUGUUUUUCUUCUUCUUUCCUUCAGUCCCCCCUCAACUGAUGACAAUAUCGUCCCAAGUAUUUUUCAAAAUCCUCGUACCCAUUAUGUUCCUCCAUUUUUGAUACCUCAAAGUUAGAAGGGCAGUUAACACUUGAAGACAUGCCCCAGUCUUUGUAUGUAACAUCUUCUUUACCCACAAGUCCUAAAGAACUUUUCAUAGCAUUUUCUGCAUUCUUCAUCUUUCCAACUAUUUUCUCUGACUCUUCUAGCACACUAGGCUUCUUGUUAAGAAAUUUUGGUGGAAGACUCAAGGUAUUUGUAGGAUCAAUAGCGGGACAUGGAGGAGGAGGCAGCCUACUAGCCCAAGCUCGAUACAUUUCCAUCAUUUGUUGUCUUAGUCUCAAAUUCUCUUUCUUUAAACUCUUGAUUUCUUGACUCUUUGUUUGAUCCAUGAGGUCACUCUCUAUAUCUUUGUUGGACAUAUUUAAACCUUUCUUAGAUUUGGUGUGAUGUGGAGGACCAGCUACAAUGCCUCAAAUCAACCACCUUAAACUAACUGAACAAGAGACAACAUAUGUGUUAGAGUGCAACAUUUUUUCAAAACUAUUUUUCUGUUUUUCUUUUGAAAAGAUCACCGAACCUAAGAAGGGCGCCUACGUAUCUCACUCCCGAGAGAGGAAAAUCAGGUAUGCAUAGUUCGUGAAGUUUGGCCACAAAAUGGGCCAAUAAAGCUCUCUUUCUUUUUCUUGAAACUUUAGAAGAAAAGGAAGUAGUAAAGCGUCAAAAGAAUUGACGAAAAUCUUUUUGCAUUUUUCAGGUUUAACAUCUCUAUAUAAAAUGAGAUAUAUGAUUACCGAAGAAAAACCUUUUUGGGUUUUCGAUUUUGAAUUUCAUAUGAAAAUGAAACUUGAACAUAUUAAAGGAAAAAUCUUUUUGUAGUUUUCUUUUAAAGAUGUAUAUGAAAUUCCUACACUAAAUGAAGAGUGAAGAAAAUCUUUUUGAAUAUUUUAAAUAAGAUCCCCGAACCAACAAUAGACUACCUACAUAUCUCACUCUCGAGAUAGGAGAAUCAGGGGUGCGUAGUUCAUCCAGAUUUGACAAUUAAGGAUUAAAUAACCAACUGGCCCUAACUUAAGAGACACAAAUAGCGUCAAAAAAUUCUUUUUUGGUUUUUAAUUAGACACUUCUCAUAAAACUGACACAACAACUAUGAAAGAAAAAAUCUUUUUGGUAUUUUCAUUUUAUGAAAGUACAAAACUUUUACCAUUUUUUUUUUAAUUUUCUGUUAUAAAAAGCUUCUAAAAAAAUCUUUUUGAAAAUUUUGAAUUAUGAAUGCAUGCUAAAGGAGAUAAAAGGAAAAUCUUUUUAAAGUUUUUGUUUUUGAGUAAAUGCGUGAAAAAAAGGUAAGGAAAUCUUUUUUGAAUUUUUGGAUUGUGAAAAAUAAAAGUCAUAAAGAACUCUAAAAACCACGAAACUCUCUUUUUUCACUCAUUUUUUCCUUUUUUUUUCAAUAAUUUCUUGCCUACACACUUUAUUUCUAACACAUGCUUUUGCCCAAAUCAGUCUGUCAAAUAACCUUGUUACCCUCGAAGAUGCAACAUUUAACAUGUAGAGAUGCUUUAGAGGUGAGUCUCCUACAAAGGACCAAGUGGGUCACGUUAGGUCUCAAUAUGAUGCAGAUAAAUAUGACCUAAAGACUGACCUACGUUGGGGUUCACUAACAAGGCUAUUCGGGGGAGUGUAUGGUCGAUAGUGCCUGCUUUGCUUUCCACCUACUCCAUACCAGCCGACGGCUCCCUAUCCUAAAAUAAGGGUGACUCAACUAUAGGUCAUGUACACAGCGUGUACUACAGAACUUAUUGCCUAAAUAAUUGACUCGGGUUAUGCAAAUAAUGUCAGAUAUAAAGCAGUAACACAUUAGAAAAAACUGUAAACAAAGAGCACGUAGGCACUCAAAAACAAUAACACAAACGACGUUUAUACACCCAUGAUGUCAAACUAAGCCGAUGCAACUCCAAAAAAUAAGCUCGAAUUCUAAAAAAUAACCAGUGGAGUCGUCAGAGCUGUCACACUCCUUUUUAACCAAAAGAUUAAUUUUAAGUUUGAAAGGGUUUUAUUAUUAAAGUGACAAAAAUGAAGAUGAAAGUUUCAAAAAGAAUUCGUUUUAUAAUUAACUCAGAGUCGCCACUUGGCAUAAAUCGGGUGUGCCAAGUCACCCUUGGAUAUCCUUUUUCAAAACGAUUUUGACUCUUUCAAAAUCUGAUUUACGAAUAGAGAUUCCGGCUAAAGAAUUCUGUUGACCGAGAGGAAGGUAUUAGACACCCCUCCAUCUAGUGGUUUGACCACGAUCGCUUGGUGGAGCAUAUCGGCUAAUUUGACACUACGAAUGUAUAAAUCACACAACACAUAAAACAAUCAAACACACAAAACAAAACCAAUCCACAAUAUAGUGUCCAAUUCAAUUAUAUAGUCCAAAGAUAGAAAAAAAAUGCGAAAAUAUAAAUCCUAUUCUAAGCUAAUCCUAAAACUACGCUCCAAUGCCUUAUCCGAUGCCUUGAGCCUUGAUCACGAGCUUCCUCUGCGUUCAUGAUACUUUGGGACAUUCCUCGAAUAAAUCAAUAUAAAUUUCUCGGGGCAUUCCCCGACAAAUGAGUACAAUUUCAAUUUUUGUGCCAUAAAAUAGAACGAAUCAUUCACACACAUAUUCAAGCACUCAACAAAUCGUAUUCCCAAAUUUGCCUACCCAACCUACCGUUUGCCUACCAAUUUCAUCCUAUCAUGAUAUUAUCACGUUUCAACAAUAUCCAUGCUCAUUAAACAAAAACGAUAAUAAAUCAAAGUUAUAUCAACUUCUCGAUUCCACCCCAAAUUUCCUUUUAUACAUCACUUUCACACAAAGUGGUUCAUACCGUGAUUAAUUAUUCACGACAAAACAAUAUCAAACCUCAACAAGAUCAUCAAUCACAACCCAAACAACAUACAAUCAUACACCAAUGCACCAAAUCGAAACAAAAAAUGAAAAGAGGGAGUCAGAAUUGAACCUCAAAUAUCAAUUUCAAUAUAUCAGAGAUAACACCGUACCCGAAAAACCUCAAAUCCGACCUCACAACGAUCUAAUUCCAACGGAAAAAUCUCAAAAUUCAAUCCGAACAAGACUUCAUGAAGAACAAAUGAAACCCGAAAUUGAAAUCGAAGCUUGAAAGGGAAAAACAAACCCCCUGUGUGAUAGUUUCCGACGAGAUUCAAUCGGAGUCAACCUAAAACAACCGAUUCAGACAAUCUGGUGGCCGGAAUUAAUGUUUUCUAGCGAGAUUUAAACUGAAAAAUGAGAGAUGGAAGCUGUUCGAUGUGGGUUUGGCCGAAAUACAAUUGAUGUGGUCAUUUUCUGGCGAGUCUUGACGGAAAAGUGGCUAAACCGUGGUUUUUCAGUCAAAUUCCGGCGAGAAACCCGCCGGAAUAGUCAACUUCCACCUAUUCUCUCCCUCUCCCGUGUUCUCACUCUUAAUUUCUCAUUCUGUUUUCCCCAAUUUUUGGUGUGUGUGCAUCGUAUAGCGAUAUGUGUGCAUGACCAGUGUAUCGUGAAUUAGAGAUGAGUGUGUGGGGUUGUGUUCAUGGUGAGUAUGUGAUCUGUGUGUGCGUGUGAAUUGUGUAUAAGAAAAUAGAGAUGGAGGAGAGUGUAUUUUGUGAGCUGAUGGUAAAAAAACCCUGAAUAUAGUGUAUUCCUUCUCUAUAUAUAUGAAAUUCCCUGGUGUGUGUGUGUUUUUAAGUGGGUCCCACUCCCUUUGUUUUGUGUGUGGUUCUUAUUCUG
rnacentral:lncRNA from 1 species